rnacentral:rRNA from 1 species
UAGUAACUGCGAGUGAAGCGGGAUGAGCUCAAAUUUAAAAUCUGGCGGCUUAGGUCGUCCGAGUUGUAAUCUGGAGAAGCGUUUUCUGUGCUGGACCGUGUACAAGUCUCUUGGAACAGAGCGUCAUAGAGGGUGAGAAUCCCGUCCAUGACACGGACCGCCAGUGCUAUGUGAUACGCUCUCGAAGAGUCGAGUUGUUUGGGAAUGCAGCUCAAAAUGGGUGGUAAAUUCCAUCUAAAGCUAAAUAUUGGCGAGAGACCGAUAGCGAACAAGUACCGUGAGGGAAAGAUGAAAAGCACUUUGGAAAGAGAGUUAAACAGUACGUGAAAUUGUUGAAAGGGAAACGCUUGAAGUCAGUCGCGUCGUACGGAGCUCAGCCUUGCUCUUUUGCUGGGUGUACUCUCCGUGUCGACGGGUCAACAUCNAAUUUUUGGCCGGCAGAGAAGGSCCUGAGGAAUGUGGCGUCGUUUCGGCGACGUGUUAUAGCCUCGGGUCGUAUGUGUCGGCUGGGAUUGAGGAUCGCAGCACGCCCUUGUGGCCGGGGGGUUCGCCCUACGUUUCGUGCUUAAGGAUGUUGGCAAAAUGGCUUUAAGCGACCCGUCUUGAAACACGGACCAAGGAGUCUAACAUGCUUGCGAGUGUUUGGGUGGAAAACCCUUGCGCGUAAUGAAAGUGAAAGUUGGGAACCUCCGCAAGGGGGUGCACCGACGCCCGGCCCUGACGUUCUCUGACGGUGCUGCGGUAGAGCACGUAUGUUGGGACCCGAAAGAUGGUGAACUAUGCCUGAAUAGGGUGAAGCCAGAGGAAACUCUGGUGGAGGCUCGUAGCGAUUCUGACGUGCAAAUCGAUCGUCAAAUUUGGG